rnacentral:rRNA from 1 species
UACGGAGGGGGCUAGCGUUGUCCGAAGUUACUGGGCGUAAAGCGCGCGUAGGCGGGUUGGUAAGUCCGCUGUGAAAGCCCGGAGCUCAACUCCGGAGGGUCGGUGGAUACUGCCAGUCUUGAAGGUGCUAGGGGGAGAUGGAAUUACCGGUGUAGCGGUGAAAUGCGCAGAUAUCGGGAAGAACACCUAUGGCGAAGGCAGCUCUCUGGGACGGUACUGACGCUGAGACGCGAAAGCGUGGGGAGCGAACAGG